rnacentral:rRNA from 1 species
UUACCUCAGUAACGGCGAGUGAAGCGGUAACAGCUCAAAUUUGAAAUCUGGCUCUUCCGGAGUCCGAGUUGUAAUUUGUAGAAGAUGCUUUGGGUGGUGGGUUCGGCCUAAGUUCCUUGGAACAGGACGUCAUAGAGGGUGAGAAUCCCGUAUGUGGCCGAGGCCCGCGCCUAUGUAAAGCUCUUUCAACGAGUCGAGUUGUUUGGGAAUGCAGCUCAAAAUGGGUGGUAAAUUUCAUCUAAAGCUAAAUAUGGGCCAGAGACCGAUAGCGCACAAGUAGAGUGAUCGAAAGAUGAAAAGCACUUUGGAAAGAGAGUUAAACAGUACGUGAAAUUGUUGAAAGGGAAGCGCUUGCAACCAGACUUGGGCGCUGUCGAUCACCCCGAGUUCUCUCGAGUGCACUCGACAGCGCACAGGCCAGCAUCGGUUCGGGUGGCUGGAUAAAGGCCGUAGGAACGUGGCUCCCUUCGGGGAGUGUUAUAGCCUACGGUGCCAUGCAGCCCAGCCGGACCGAGGACCGCGCCUUCGGGCUAGGAUGCUGGCGGAAUGGUUGUAAGCG